rnacentral:rRNA from 1 species
AGACCCGAAACCCGGUGAUCUAGCCAUGGGCAGGUUGAAGGUUGGGUAACACUAACUGGAGGACCGAACCGACUAAUGUUGAAAAAUUAGCGGAUGACCUGUGGCUGGGGGUGAAAGGCCAAUCAAACCGGGAGAUAGCUGGUUCUCCCCGAAAGCUAUUUAGGUAGCGCCUCGUGAAUUCAUCUCCGGGGGUAGAGCACUGUUUCGGCUAGGGGGCCAUCCCGGCUUACCAACCCGAUGCAAACUGCGAAUACCGGAGAAUGUUAUCACGGGAGACACACGGCGGGUGCUAACGUCCGUCGUGAAGAGGGAAACAACCCAGACCGCCAGCUAAGGUCCCAAAGUCAUGGUUAAGUGGGAAACGAUGUGGGAAGGCCCAGACAGCCAGGAUGUUGGCUUAGAAGCAGCCAUCAUUUAAAGAAAGCGUAAUAGCUCACUGGUCGAGUCGGCCUGCGCGGAAGAUGUAACGGGGCUAAACCAUGCACCGAAGCUGCGGCAGCGAACGUAUCACUUAAAGCGAUUCAGCGGGUUACGAUUGACGGAGCGAAGCGACGUCAAAGCGUAUACAAAGUCGAGUCGGUUUAAGGAUACGUUCGUUGGGUAGGGGAGCGUUCUGUAAGCCUGUGAAGGUGUGUCGUGAGGCAUGCUGGAGGUAUCAGAAGUGCGAAUGCUGACAUAAGUAACGAUAAAGCGGGUGAAAAGCCCGCUCGCCGGAAGACCAAGGGUUCCUGUCCAACGUUAAUCGGGGCAGGGUGAGUCGACCCCUAAGGCGAGGCCGAAAGGCGUAGUCGAUGGGAAACGGGUUAAUAUUCCCGUACUUGGUGUUACUGCGAAGGGGGGACGGAGAAGGCUAUGUUGGCCGGGCGACGGUUGUCCCGGUUUAAGCGUGUAGGCUGGU